UCAAACUUGGUCAUUUAGAGGAAGUAAAAGUCGUAACAAGGUUUCCGUAGGUGAACCUGCGGAAGGAUCAUUAAAAAAUAGCGUUAGCUAUAUCCACCUUGUGUGCAAAACAAUGGAAAGAGAAAAUGGAAUUCAGAACACUUUUUCUUCGGGGAAAAUGUUACCAAAUUCUCUGUAAUUUUUAUAAAUACCAUCAAAAAUUAAUUUGAAAAAAAAAAAAUUUUUUUUUUUAAUAAAAAUUAUUAUACAACUUUCAACAACGGAUCUCUUGGCUCUCGCAUCGAUGAAGAACGCAGC
rnacentral:misc_RNA from 1 species